GUGUAAUAAAAAAUAUGGUGAAUCCCGUUGCUGACUGUCAUUCAACAGAAGGUCAGGCUCAUAAAAUAUUAUGGUUUGUCCUCGUCCUUCUUUUUCAUUGGAUUUGGCACCAUCAGACGUCAGGCUUUUCCCCAAAGUCAAAAUGACCAUGAAAGGUAAAUGUUUUGAAACAGUUCGGGACAGUGAAGCAGCUGUGACAGCUCAACCAAAGAUUCUCUCCAAAGAGGACUCCCAGAACCGCUUCAAAGAGUACACGGAUGACUGGCUACAGAAGUACAGACAAGCAGGUGCAAAUUCUUCAUGUCACCCGGCCUGCAGAAGGCUCGAGAGCCAGCCCUCCUGGGAAAGUGAGUGAUGGGCCAGCAGCAGAAUGAAUGAGCAUUUUUAAUAGCCUGAGUAUAAUUCCUCAAUGCCAAAGUGUACUGUAGAAACUCUGAAAAACAAAAGUUUUUGUUGUUUGUUUAUAAAUCUGCAACACAUUUGUUUGACUGUAAAAGCUGCCUGAACUGGUAUGAAAUUGUUUAUCAUCUUUAUCUCAUUUGAGUACUUACACACUGGGC
rnacentral:lncRNA from 1 species